AGAAAAAAAACCUAGCCAGCCGCCCCAACCCCGUCGCUACUCGCUCGUCUUCCUCCUCGAGCGAGCGCCGCCACCCCUCCCUCCCCAUCUCGCUCUCCCCAUCCCGCUGCCGAGCGCCCCAACCCUAGUCGCUCCGUAGCUCGUCUUCCUCCUCGCGCGAGCGCCGCCAUCACUCCCUCCCCACCCCGCGCUGCCUAGCGCCCAGCCCCCCUAGCCUGUCUUCCUCCUCGCUCGAGCGCCUCCACCGCAGGUUGGUCUCCCCUUCGAUUCUCUCGCUCCCGACCGUUUCUCCUCCCAUCGCCCCACCAACGGAUUCUGCCUUUUAUCUCCCCGUUUCAUCUCCUUAAUCUUCCCCAAUUUGUAACUGACGCCCUACUGGGCCCUCCGCCCGUGCCACCAAUCCAAGAGCCUCGUUUCUGCUCCCAGAAAGCCACCAACCAGCCCGAAUUCCCAUUCUCGGCGAAAUUCUUGCUCUCCCCGAUCCCUAUCUGCUAACAGAGCCCUAUCUGCCUUGAAUUUCAUCAUCAAGUCAAUAACUAAUCUCGAAAGAACCGUUGGAAACAGAAAAUAAAGAUAAUACAUGCACUGAUGUAUAUUGGCUUGGAACAUGCUCUUAGCAGCAUGGACUUUCAUAUUGAUUCUGCUCUCCACGGCCAUAGCGAAGGCCUCCUCAACCGGUUUAUGGAGUCACCUAGCAGAUUUCUCCAGCAGUGAGGCAACUUGAGGUUAUCCUCUUGGCACUGACACAGUUGGUAGUCUCGUCGGAUGGAAGCUACAGCGAAGAGUGUCCAUGUGUGAAGCUAGAGCGAGGACUGUCCACAUGCUCUCCUAGACGAUAGCGCUGCAGGUGUCUGCUCCAGAAAAGAAGGGGCGGGCUGAAAGUGGGGUAACAGGGAGAUGGUGUUGGAAAUCUGGUUAUUUUCUUAGGGUCUCUUUGUUCCCGAUGUGUUAAUUCUUGUAGAAAAUAACUGACGAUUGAGCCCAUUGCUAUUCAUAUCAUGCUAGGCAAUUAAUGUGCUAUAAGAGGUGAUGGAAUCCAGAAUCAACACAAAGUAGAGUGGGCCAAAUGGUCAGUUGAUGGAGCCAGAGGUCGAAUUGAGAGGUAUGGGAGAAAGAGAAGACAGAGAGGAGGGUGCCUCACUGCCUUGCCUUCUCGAUGGAAUGGAGCAGCCAUGUAAAAGACACCACUUUUGGAAAAUUAAGCUAGCAUGUUUUUCAAUUUCUUUUGUUCUUCCGUAGCAACACACGGGCUUUUUGCUAGUUAUUAUUUUUUUUUUCUUCCUCUCCAAGCAGUAUAACCUUUCUUUUCUGACUUGCUUGACUUUAUGUUUUCUGAAGAAUGGUGGUUUAGAAAAUUCAUCUUCAGUAGCAGAAGCUCGAUGUCACUCUAUUUUGCUUCGUGAACCAAGAAGCAUUCCCUUCUCCGGCGUGUAUCUGCAAUAUAUGGUAGUUUACCACACAGGCAGUUCACAGACAAGUACAUAUUCUGAUUCGCACGAUAAGUUCCUCUCCUGAUCUUCUUGGGAUCAUCUCAGAUUCACCAGCUGACAGUCAGGACCUCCUCUUGCAGUGCCAUCUCAAGAUCUGAUUUCCUCCAUAAAGAACUUAUAUUCAUAAACAAAGGACGUCGACUUCCUUUUUUCAGACAUGGCGCAUCUGACAAAAGACGAGCUUUUUGUUUCCUCCACUCUUAGAAUGUUUAGGAUAAAUAACUGGCACAAUGCAUAAUAUAUUACUGUAUAGCUAGCUUUAUCGUACUCUAGAAUAUAUAUGGUGGUUAGACUUAAUGUGUACAUCUUUUGCAGUCUCCUAAUUAGGGGUGCAAGUGGGAUCUCACUUGUAAGUAAAUCUCCAAAUCCUCAAGUCAAUUUUAAGCAUUUUUUUUGAAUUAGCAAGUCAUUUAAGUGGGAUCCCACCUGCAUCCCUACUCCUAAUGAGCACGUACUAGUGGCUAAGCGCUAAUCAUUUGCAUUAAUGAGCCAGCACAUGGUAGCUGAACUGCUCAAACUGUAUUCAAUUCAAAUUAAGUUGGCAGCACCCCGUGGGCAGUGGUUAAUAUUUGCAAAGAAAGGUCAUGCUGCAGCCUUUGGGGAGAAGGGGGACAGCCUAGGUAUUGGAGUUUUCUCAGAACCAGUGGUUAUGAAACAUGACAGUUGACAGUAACUGACAUGGUGCAUUAAUCCAGCAAUUUGAACUCUAAGCAUUGUUUUCGAGAUAUCACAUAUAUUAUGUAGGCAUCGCUGCCGUGGUAUCGCUCAUAUUUCAUAUUUCGUUUCAUGUUUGUUAUUCGUUGUGCUUUUUUUUCUAGGUCAUGUCUGUGUUUUCCAAUAUUGUUAAUCUUCCUAUGGAUAAGUUUCAAGUUGCCCUUUCUCGAAUCCUGCAGGUUACUUUUCUCUACUAUGUGCAGGUUGAGUUAACAUUCUUUUUGUUCCUUAGCUAAGAUUUGAAACAUUUAUUGGUUCAUAAAUUGGGAUUUGGAAAUAAAGUACAGUGUCAGUUCAUAUCUGGGCUGAGGUGUUUGUUGCACACUUUGUGUAAAACUUCACACCUUCAAAGCUUUCUUAGUAAAGGCUCGUUUUUGCCUCACUCUUGAACUUCUAAUUCUAACUUAGUUAUUUUUCAGUUUUCAUGUUAAUUAUACGUGUUUUCUAGCUUGUGCAUGCUAUUCAUGCAGAUAACUUGCUACCUAUUGCAGGGAUCACCACAUCAUGGUCCUUCUAUUGACCCAUCAUAAAUUUUGAUUGCCAUCCAUGUAAUAGAUCCUGAAAAGGAUGGCAUACCACUGAAAAAGGUUAUGGAUGCAUGUGCUGCUUGCUUCGAGCAAAGGACAAUAUUCACUCAGCAAGUUUUGGCAAAAGCUCUAAAUCAAUUGGUAACCGUUCCUGGAUAUUAUCAUGUUUUCUGUUGUAUUUGCCUUGUGAACAGAUUCCUGUUCCUGUGCUGUUCAUGCGAACUGUUAUGCAAGCAAUAGGUGCCUUUCCUGCAUUGGUGGUAUGAUCUGAUAGCGAGACUUCCUUUCAGGUGGACUUUGGGAUGGAGAUCAUGUCACACAUUGUUAGCAAGCAGAUAUGGAAAUAUCCUAAGUGUGCUAUCCUAAGUUCCUGACAAAACCUCAAUCAUAUGGGGUGCUGCUGCAGGGAGUUUUCAUGAGGUCACGGACAACCAUUUUGGAUCUAGUAGUUCUGGAAAACGGUGACAUCAUAAAUAAACUUUGAAGGGUCCACGAUGGAGUCGCCGAACACCACCAGCGCCGGCACCUUUGGCUUCUUCUUCUUCGGGCUCGCACUACUAGAACUAGCAGCUAUGGCAGCAUCUCGGCUAGAAACUGAACUGAUCGCCGCUGCCACCAGCAGCAUCAACAAGAACAAGCUUCUGCUGCUACGCUGCAAACAUCUUGUGACGCCCAUCGAUCGAUCUGACUGGCUAGAAUGAUCAAUCCUGACCGAGCUGCGUGUGCAGUGGAGAGAGCUAGUGUUGUGGCGGUGUCCGUUAUGCUGGGGGAUAUAUUUAUGCAUGGCUUUCGGUGCAGAUAUGACGGUCACCGGCCGGCAAGAAAGAAGAUGGGUCACAUGGGGCGAGUUAAUGCUAGCAAGACUAGUACGCGUGCGUGCCUGCCUUGAAUCCAUUCAUUGCACUAGCUACCGUAAAUAUGACCUGCCGAUCCAUUGUCUGCCAUGCCAUGCCUGGAUCUGCAUGCCCAAUCCAAUGAAACGCACUAGUACAUGCUACUGCAUGUAAUAAACAGACUACUCUAACUUAACUGAAGACGUAAUUUCA